UAUAAUGUCUAUGGUGAAGUCUUUUGUACAGUGGUUAGUAAUUUCUGAAGGAGAUGCUGCCAAUCCCCCCCGCGCCUGCGAAGCGCAGCGGCUCUAGCGUUUGCUGCCAAUUGAUGGGGCAAAUGAUCUCUUUUUUCAGCCACCUCCACUGACUCCUACCUCCAAAGUUUAUACUAUCAGACCUUAUUUUCCUAAAGAUGAGGCAUCCGUGUACAAGAUUUGCAGAGAAAUGUAUGACGAUGGAGUGGGUUUACCCUUUCAAAGUCAGCCUGAUCUUAUUGGAGACAAGUUAGUAGGAGGGCUGCUUUCCCUCAGCCUGGAUUACUGCUUUGUCCUAGAAGAUGAAGAUGGCAUAUGUGGUUAUGCCUUGGGCACUGUAGAUGUGACCCCCUUUAUUAAAAAAUGUAAAAUUUCCUGGAUACCCUUCAUGCAGGAGAAGUAUACCAAGCCAAAUGGUGACAAGGAACUCUCUGAGGCUGAGAAAAUAAUGUUGAGUUUCCAUGAAGAACAGGAAGUACUGCCAGAAACUUUCCUUGCUAAUUUCCCUUCUCUGAUAAAGAUGGACAUUCACAAAAAAGUAACUGACCCAAGUGUGGCCAAAAGCAUGAUGGCUUGCCUCCUGUCUUCACUGAAGGCUAAUGGCUCCCGGGGAGCUUUCUGUGAAGUCAGACCAGAUGAUAAAAGAAUUCUGGAAU
rnacentral:sRNA from 1 species